UACGGAGGGCGCGAGCGUUGUCCGGAAUCAUUGGGCGUAAAGAGCUCGUAGGCGGCCGGUUGCGUCUGCUGUGAAAUCCCGGGGCUUAACCCCGGGCGUGCAGUGGAUACGGGCUGGCUGGAGGCAGGCAGGGGAGAAUGGAAUUCCCGGUGUAGCGGUGAAAUGCGCAGAUAUCGGGAGGAACACCGGUGGCGAAGGCGGGUCUCUGGGCCGAUACUGACGCUGAGGAGCGAAAGCGUGGGGAGCGAACAGG
rnacentral:rRNA from 1 species